AGGAACGGGCGCAGGAGCGUCAAGCGGGCAAGCGGGUGGCGAACCACGUCAAAAAGGGCUACUUUGAAGGAACGGGCGCAGGAGCGUCAAGCGGGCAAGCGGGUGGCGAACCACGUCAAAAAGGGCUACUUUGAAGGUGACGUAAUGGAUCUUACGGAUGGCGGUCAAGCGAAUAACGAAGAACCGAACGCUACAUUUUGAAAGCUUCCGCAAUGUUUAAACUCUUUAGUAGUAUUAUGUAUGAAUUGUAAUUACUUGUUAAACCACUUUUGGUAUGUUUUAACUUAAACGUUAGUCGACUAAGGUUGAUGUUCUUAACGGA